UUUGAGUCCAGAGGGGCGGGGGAUUUGGGCAUAUCUAAUUUUUUAUUUCUAAUCAAAAUUUUUUUUUUCCUUUUAAUAUUAAGUCCUUUUUUAUUUUUAAUUUUUUUUUUAAUUUCAUUUUUUUUUUUUUUAUGUAUCCCACUAUUUUCCUUAAUUUUUUUUCUGUCUUGAUUUGUAUUUUUAUAUAUUUUAUUUUAAAUGGAAAUUUUUUUAUUUCUAUUUUAAACAAUGAUAUAGAAAAUGAUAAUGAAGAUAGAAUUAAUCGUGGGCUAUCUAUUAGUUAGCAGGAUCCCCUAUUUUUUUUAAAUACCGCCAUUAUGUUUAAAUUUUAUUUAUUAAAUUACUUUUUUUCUUUUUUUAAAAG
rnacentral:rRNA from 1 species